AGAGUUUGAUCAUGGCUCAGAGCGAACGCUGGCGGCAGGCCUAACACAUGCAAGUCGAGCGGCCGUAGCAAUACGGCAGCGGCAGACGGGAGAGUAACACGUGGGAACGCGCCCUUCGGUUCGGGAUAACUCAGGGAAACUUGGGCUAAUACCGGAUACGCCCUUACGGGGAAAGAUUUAUUGCCGAAGGAACGGCCCGCGUCCGAUUAGCUUGUUGGUGAGGUAACGGCUCACCAAGGCGACGAUCGGUAGCUGGUCUGAGAGGAUGACCAGCCUCACUGGGACUGAGACACGGCCCAGACUCCUACGGGAGGCAGCAGUGGGGAAUAUUGGACAAUGGGCGCAAGCCUGAUCCAGCCAUGCCUCGUGGGUGAUGAAGGCCCUAGGGUUGUAAAGCCCUUUCGGCGGGGAAGAUAAUGACGGUACCCGCAGAAGAAGCCCCGGCUAACUUCGUGCCAGCAGCCGCGGUAAUACGAAGGGGGCUAGCGUUGCUCGGAAUUACUGGGCGUAAAGCGCACGUAGGCGGCUUCUUAAGUCGGUGGUGAAAUCCUGGAGCUCAACUCCAGAACUGCCUUCGAUACUGGGAAGCUCGAGUCCGGGAGAGGUGAGUGGAACUGCGAGUGUAGAGGUGAAAUUCGUAGAUAUUCGCAAGAACACCAGUGGCGAAGGCGGCUCACUGGCCCGGUACUGACGCUGAGGUGCGAAAGCGUGGGGAGCAAACAGGAUUAGAUACCCUAGUAGUCC
rnacentral:rRNA from 1 species